rnacentral:rRNA from 1 species
AUGUUUGAGAAUCUCACUCCAAGACCACACCGUCAUGUGACGAUAUUCAAUGAUUUGAUCAAGUGUGUUGAGUUAGAUUUUCAUGUGCAAGAUGCUUUCUUCAACAUGAAGCGAGCAAAGGAUUAUGGCUGGAUGGCUAAAACAUGGACUAGAUCAAUUUAUUCAGAUGUUUGGUGUGAUGGCUUGACGAUUGAUACGUCUGAGAUAUCUUUCACCGACUCAAGUUUGCCGAAUUUGUUGCCUGGGAUGUUUGAUGAGGAAAACAAUUUGACUUGGAAGAAAUUGACUAGUGCUGGUCCUACAUUAAGCUUGCUUGAUGACAAUGUUAUUUACAUUAUGGCGAACGAGAACAUGUGCCAUCCGACAGCAUAUGUACUUACUGUGGACACCAAAAGUUUGAAGCUCGAGUCUGGUGCGCAGUGUGCUCCUCAAAAGACGGCGUGGUUCUAA